CCUACGGGAGGCAGCAGUAAGGAAUAUUGGUCAAUGGACGAAAGUCUGAACCAGCCAUGCCGCGUGAAGGAUGAAGGCCCUCUGGGUUGUAAACUUCUUUUAUAGGGGACGAAAAAAGGGAAUUCUUUCCCACUUGACGGUACCCUAGGAAUAAGCACCGGCUAACUCCGUGCCAGCAGCCGCGGUAAUACGGAGGGUGCAAGCGUUAUCCGGAUUUACUGGGUUUAAAGGGUGCGUAGGUGGGCAGUUAAGUCAGUGGUGAAAUCUCCGAGCUUAACUCGGAAACUGCCAUUGAUACUAUCUGUCUUGAAUAUCCUGGAGGUGAGCGGAAUAUGUCAUGUAGCGGUGAAAUGCUUAGAUAUGACAUAGAACACCAAUUGCGAAGGCAGCUCACUACGGGAUUAUUGACACUGAGGCACGAAAGCGUGGGGAUCAAACAGGAUUAGAUACCCUGGUAGUCCACGCCCUAAACUAUGGAUACUCGACAUCAGCGAUACACUGUUGGUGUCUGAGCGAAAGCAUUAAGUAUCCCACCUGGGAAGUACGAUCGCAAGAUUGAAACUCAAAGGAAUUAGACGG
rnacentral:rRNA from 1 species